rnacentral:rRNA from 1 species
UACGUAGGGACCAAGCGUUGUUCGGAAUUACUGGGCGUAAAGCGCACGUAGGCGGCUCUUUAAGUCGGAGGUGAAAUCCUGGAGCUCAACUCCAGAACUGCCUUCGAUACUGAAGAGCUCGAGUCCGGGAGAGGUGAGUGGAACUGCGAGUGUAGAGGUGAAAUUCGUAGAUAUUCGCAAGAACACCAGUGGCGAAGGCGGCUCACUGGCCCGGUACUGACGCUGAGGUGCGAAAGCGUGGGGAGCAAACAGG